UAACACAUGCAAGUCGAACGGAAAGGCCCUGCUUUUGUGGGGUGCUCGAGUGGCGAACGGGUGAGUAACACGUGAGUAACCUGCCCUUGACUUUGGGAUAACUUCAGGAAACUGGGGCUAAUACCGGAUAGGAGCUCCUGCUGCAUGGUGGGGGUUGGAAAGUUUCGGCGGUUGGGGAUGGACUCGCGGCUUAUCAGCUUGUUGGUGGGGUAGUGGCUUACCAAGGCUUUGACGGGUAGCCGGCCUGAGAGGGUGACCGGCCACAUUGGGACUGAGAUACGGCCCAGACUCCUACGGGAGGCAGCAGUGGGGAAUAUUGCACAAUGGGCGGAAGCCUGAUGCAGCAACGCCGCGUGCGGGAUGACGGCCUUCGGGUUGUAAACCGCUUUCGCCUGUGACGAAUUUUGAGUGACGGCAAUGGGUAAAGAAGCACCGGGCUAACUACCUGCCAUCAGGCGGCGGUGAUACGUAGGGCGCGAGCGUUGUCCGGAUUUAUUGGGCGUAAAGGGCUCGAGGUGGUUGAUCGCGUUGGAAGUGUAAUCUUGGGGCUUAACCCUGAGCGUGCUUUCGAUACGGGUUGACUUGAGGAAGGUAGGGGGAGAAUGGAAUUCCUGGUGGAGCGGUGGAAUGCGCAGAUAUCAGGAGGAACACCAGUGGCGAAGGCGGGUCUUCUGGGCCUUUCCUGACGCUGAGGAGCGAAAGCGUGGGGAGCGAACAGGCUUAGAUACCCUGGUAGUCCACGCUGCAAACGGUGGGUACUAGGUGUGGGGUCCAUUCCACGGGUUCCGUGCCGUAGCUAACGCUUUAAGUACCCCGCCUGGGGAGUACGGCCGCAAGGCUAAAACUCAAAGGAAUUGACGGGGCCCCGCACAAGCGGCGGAGCAUGCGGAUUAAUUCGAUGCAACGCGUAGAACCUUACCUGGGUUUGACAUGGAUCGGGAGUGCUCAGAGAUGGGUGUGCCUCUUUUGGGGUCGGUUCACAGGUGGUGCAUGGCUGUCGUCAGCUCGUGUCGUGAGAUGUUGGGUUAAGUCCCGCAACGAGCGCAACCCUUGUUCACUGUUGCCAGCACGUUAUGGUGGGGACUCAGUGGAGACCGCCGGGGUCAACUCGGAGGAAGGUGGGGAUGACGUCAAGUCAUCAUGCCCCUUAUGUCCAGGGCUUCACGCAUGCUACAAUGGCUGGUACAGAGAGUGGCGAGCCUGUGAGGGUGAGCGAAUCUCGGAAAGCCGGUCUCAGUUCGGAUUGGGGUCUGCAACUCGACCUCAUGAAGUCGGAGUCGCUAGUAAUCGCAGAUCAGCAACGCUGCGGUGAAUACGUUCCCGGGGCUUGUACACACCGCCCGUCAAGUCAUGAAAGUUGGUAACACCCGAAGCCGGUGGCCUAACCGUUGUGGGGGAGCCGUCGAAGGUGGGACUGGUGAUUAGGACUAAGUC
rnacentral:rRNA from 1 species